CGAACGGGUGAGUAACGCGUGAGGAACCUGCCUCAAAGAGGGGGACAACAGUUGGAAACGACUGCUAAUACCGCAUAAGCCCACGGGUCGGCAUCGAUCUGAGGGAAAAGGAGUGAUCCGCUUUGAGAUGGCCUCGCGUCCGAUUAGCUAGUUGGUGAGGUAACGGCCCACCAAGGCGACGAUCGGUAGCCGGACUGAGAGGUUGAACGGCCACAUUGGGACUGAGACACGGCCCAG
rnacentral:rRNA from 1 species